GCUGGCGGCACGCCUUAUACAUGCAAGUCGAACGAAGUAGCAAUACUUAGUGGCAGACGGGUGAGUAACAUGUAGGUAUCUUCCCUUUGGUGAGGAAUAACACGAGGAAACUUGUGCUAAUACCUCAUAAGUCUUUACAGAGAAAGCUUUAUGCGCCGAAGGAUGAGCCUGCACUUGAUUAGUUUGUUGGUGGGGUAAUGGCUUACCAAGACUUUGAUCAAUAGCUGAUCUGAGAGGAUGAUCAGCCACAUUGGGACUGAGACACGGCCCAAACUCCUACGGGAGGCAGCAGUAGGGAAUAUUGCACAAUGGAGGAAACUCUGAUGCAGCGAUGCCGCGUGAGUGAAGAAGGCCUUUGGGUUGUAAAGCUCUUUCGUCGGGGAAGAAAAUGACUGUACCCGAAUAAGAAGGUCCGGCUAACUUCGUGCCAGCAGCCGCGGUAAUACGAAGGGACCUAGCGUAGUUCGGAAUUACUGGGCUUAAAGAGUUCGUAGGUGGUUAAAAAAGUUGGUGGUGAAAUCCCAGAGCUUAACUCUGGAACUGCCAUCAAAACUUUUUAGCUAGAGUAUGAUAGAGGAAAGCAGAAUUUCUAGUGUAGAGGUGAAAUUCGUAGAUAUUAGAAAGAAUACCAAUUGCGAAGGCAGCUUUCUGGAUCAUUACUGACACUGAGGAACGAAAGCAUGGGUAGCGAAGAGGAUUAGAUACCCUCGUAGUCCAUGCCGUAAACGAUGUGUGUUAGACGUUGGAAAUUUAUUUUCAGUGUCGCAGCGAAAGCAUUAAACACACCGCCUGGGGAGUACGACC
rnacentral:rRNA from 1 species